UGAGUUGGUGGCUAGGGUUCCGGCGCUUUCCUGAAGUGCGACUGGUCCGAGAGCUACCACCGGCCGGGGAGAAAUCCGGUCGGGUGCACGGCGGGACAAAAGCCCGGGAGAC
rnacentral:sRNA from 2 species